UACGAAGGGGGCUAGCGUUGCUCGGAAUCACUGGGCGUAAAGCGCACGAAGGCGGACUCUUAAGUCGGUGGUGAAAUCCUGGAGCUCAACUCCAGAACUGCCUUCGAUACUGAGAGUCUCGAGUCCGGGAGAGGUGAGUGGAACUGCGAGUGUAGAGGUGAAAUUCGUAGAUAUUCGCAAGAACACCAGUGGCGAAGGCGGCUCACUGGCCCGGUACUGACGCUGAGGUGCGAAAGCGUGGGGAGCAAACAGG
rnacentral:rRNA from 1 species